rnacentral:rRNA from 1 species
UACAGAGGUGGCAAGCGUUUGUUCGGAAUUACUGGGCGUAAAGGGCGCGUAGGCGGCCUUCUAAGUCAGACGUGAAAUCCCCCGGCUUAACCUGGGAACUGCGUCUGAUACUGGGAGGCUUGAGUAUGGGAGAGGGAUGUAGAAUUCCAGGUGUAGCGGUGAAAUGCGUAGAUAUCUGGAGGAAUACCGGUGGCGAAGGCGGCAUCCUGGACCAUAACUGACGCUGAUGCGCGAAAGCUAGGGGAGCAAACGGGG